GAUUGAACGCUGGCGGAAUGCUUUACACAUGCAAGUCGAACGGCAGCCCGGGGGCAGCCCUGGUGGCGAGUGGCGAACGGGUGAGUAAUACAUCGGAACGUGCCCGGUCGUGGGGGAUAACGUAGCGAAAGUUACGCUAAUACCGCAUACGAUCUGAGGAUGAAAGCGGGGGACCUUCGGGCCUCGCGCGAUCGGAGCGGCCGAUGUCCGAUUAGGUAGUUGGUGGGGUAAAGGCCUACCAAGCCGACGAUCUGUAGCUGGUCUGAGAGGACGACCAGCCACACUGGGACUGAGACACGGCCCAGACUCCUACGGGAGGCAGCAGUGGGGAAUUUUGGACAAUGGGCGCAAGCCUGAUCCAGCCAUUCCGCGUGCAGGACGAAGGCCUUCGGGUUGUAAACUGCUUUUGUACGGAACGAAAAGGCUCUGGCUAAUACCUGGGGAUCAUGACGGUACCGGAAGAAUAAGCACCGGCUAACUACGUG
rnacentral:rRNA from 1 species